GCCGCGGCGUACCGGCCCGUUGUUGAAGAUCCCGAACACCUGCCCUGCUCUUGCCCCACCUGCGUCCUCUUCCCCAGCCCCUCCCUUCCCUCCCAGCCCCACGGUCCCCACCGAGCCCCAAACUAAGGCCCCCUCUCCUUACUUUUCCACGCCCGUGCAGUGAGUAAGGGCAGCAGCGGUAGGGCCAGCCUGCCAUGUACUAGAUUGGUGGCUUGAGCCCCAUAGGAUACACACUCCUGUACCAUGUGACCUGUGUGACAACAUCCCAGCCGCACCACACUCCACAGGUGUCAUAUGGAGGAAGAACAUGGCAGACACUACUAGUUGACCCCAAGAUCUGCUGUUACCUUCUCCCUGUUCUUUCCUUCUUUCUAGAAAUAAACCUACAAUUAUUAUUGUUA